rnacentral:rRNA from 1 species
UGGGGAAUAUUGCACAAUGGGGGAAACCCUGAUGCAGCGACGCCGCGUGAGCGAAGAAGGUUUUCGAAUCGUAAAGCUCUGUCCUAUGGGAAGAUAAUGACGGUACCAUAGGAGGAAGCCCCGGCUAACUACGUGCCAGCAGCCGCGGUAAUACGUAGGGGGCAAGCGUUGUCCGGAAUCACUGGGCGUAAAGGGUUCGCAGGCGGAAAUGCAAGUCAGUUGUGAAAGGCAGAGGCUCAACCUCUGUAAGCAAUUGAAACUGUAUUUCUUGAGAUGUGGAGAGGCAAGUGAAAUUCCUAGUGUAGCGGUGAAAUGCGUAGAUAUUAGGAAGAAUACCGGUGGCGAAGGCGACUUGCUGGACACAAACUGACGCUGAGGAACGAAAGCGUGGGUAGCAAACAGG